UACACAGAGAACUACUUAGAGGAGAUCAACUAGAUAAAAACUGUGAUGUUUGUCAUUUCUAAUUCCAGUAAUUAAGUGCUGCUCUUGUUCUACUUGAAAAGGCCUCUAUGGGAUUAUAUUAAUGGCAUAAUGGAGAGUCAAAGAAAAGAAUCAGAACUGUUAUGAAAAAGAAAGAUAUUGAAAAAUUUAUGAGCUGGAACCUUUAGAAAACGAGAGUGUGUAUGGUGGAAAUGAUCAGGAUUACUGGAAUGUUCCCAUCUCAAAGGCCUUCAUCACGUUCCUAUGUGUGAAUGCUGAGCAGCUGUCAUGGCUGGAGUCAAAGUAGAAGUACUGUAUUUCUGCUCUCAGAACCAAAACAGUGGCACCACUUUAGAUCCAUCCUGGCACGAGAAGGCAGACAAUAUCAGCAGAAGACAUCCUGGUUUGCUCUUUACCCCAUUCCCUUAAGAGGAACUCUUCCGAUUUAGCAGGUAUGACACUUUACUUUAGUUUAUUGCACUUUCAAUAUUGUGUUAUUCA
rnacentral:lncRNA from 1 species